rnacentral:rRNA from 1 species
GCAGCCAUACAUUCAAAGAGUGCGUAAUAGCUCACUGGUCGAGUGGUUCUGCGCCGAAAAUUUAACGGGGCUAAACGAUACACCGAAGCUUGGGAUGCAGCAUUGGCUGCAUGGUAGGAGAGCGUUCUGUACGGGGUGAAGUCAUAGCGGAAGCGGUGGUGGACUGUACAGAAGAGAGAAUGCCGGAAUGAGUAGCGAGAUUUAUGUGAGAAUCAUAAAGGCCGAAAGACUAAGGAUUUAGAAGGAAGGUUCGUCCGCUUCUAGUUAGCCGGGAGCUAAGGCGAGGCCGAAAGGCGUAGUCGAUGCACAUACGGUGGAGAUUCCGUAGCCGCCUCUUAAUUUAAGCAAAGGGACACUUUCAAAGGGAAUGACCCGGGCGUUGGUAGCCCCGGGCGAAAGGGACCGAAAUUAGAGUAGGGAAGCAUUUCUGGAGGAAGGCGAGAAAAGCUUUGCGGAUAGAGAGAGGCGCCCGUACCGCAAACCGACACAGGUAGUCAGGAAGAGGAUUCUAAGGCCAACGGGAGAAGGGUAGUUAAGGAACUCGGCAAAUUGACCCCGUAACUUCGGAAUAAGGGGUGCUCCUGAAAAGGAGCCGCAGUGAAUAGGCCCAGGCGACUGUUUAUCAAAAACACAGCUCUCUGCUAAAUCGAAAGAUGAAGUAUAGGGGGUGACACCUGCCCGGUGCUGGAAGGUUAAGAGGAAGGGUGCAAGCUCUGAAUUGAAGCCCCAGUAAACGGCGGCCGUAACUAUAACGGUCCUAAGGUAGCGAAAUUCCUUGUCGGGUAAGUUCCGACCCGCACGAAUGGUGUAACGAUCUGGGCACUGUCUCAACUACCCACCCGGCGAAAUUGUAGUACCGGUGAAGAUGCCGGUUACCCGCGGCAAGACGGAAAGACCCCAUGGAGCUUUACUGUAGCCUGAUAUUGGGUUUCGGUAUUCUAUGUACAGGAUAGGCGGGAGACUGGGAACCGAUGGCGUCAGCUGUCGGGGAGUCACCCUUGGGAUACCGCUCUUAGAGUACUGGAAUUCUAACCUGCGGCCGUGAAUCCGGCCGGGGGACAUUGUCAGGUGGGCAGUUUGACUGGGGCGGUCGCCUCCAAAAAGGUAACGGAGGCGCUCAAAGGUUCGCUCAGCACGGACGGAAACCGUGCCUCUGAGUGCAAACGCAAAAGCGAGCCUAACUGCGAGGCUGACGGGCCGAGCAGUAACGAAAGUUGGAGUUAGUGAUCCGGCGGUAUGU